rnacentral:misc_RNA from 1 species
GCAGAAAUCAUUCAGAUGUUCAUAUGGCAAAGCGUCACAGGAUACUGCUGCAGCCAGAGCUUUUGCUCUCUCAUAUUUGCGGUUGAAUAUUACAACCCUUGCCCCUCUGCUUUUGGCACCAAAAGCAAUAGCUCGCCCUGCACCACCUGCCCCAACUAAUACAAACAAUUUCCCAGCAAUUGGAGAAACAUUUGAUGCAUGGCCAUUGGUCUUUUGUCUCUCUGUUUACACACAAAAUUUAAUGGAGGGUACAUACCAUGGAUGGGCAGGGGGGGACUAAAAUAUUGAAAACAAUGACGAUAGUAUUAUUGUUAUCAAAUAUGUAAUGCAAUU